ensembl:misc_RNA Y_RNA Y RNA
AGUUGGUCUGAAGAUAGUGAGUUAUCUCAUGUGAUUGCUCACAGUUAGUUACAGAUUGAACUCCUUGCUCUACUCUUUCUCCUCUUCUCAUGACUGCACUUGACUAGUCUUAA